rnacentral:misc_RNA from 1 species
AGCAGCCGCGGUAAUUCCAGCUCCAAUAGCGUAUAUUAAAGUUGUUGCAGUUAAAAAGCUCGUAGUUGAAUUUCGGGAUCAAUAUGUCGGUCGUGCCUUGGUACGUACUGGUAUCAUUGGUCUCUCCUUUCUGACGAACCAUGAUGUCAUUAAUUUGGUGUUAUGGGAAGUCAGGACUGUUACUUUGAAAAAAAUUAGAGUGUUUAAAGCAGGCUUUAGCUUGAAUACAUUAGCACGGAAUAAUGAAAUAGGACGUUCGAACCUAUUUUGUUGGUUUCUAGGAUCAACGUAAUGAUUAAUAGGGGAUAGUUGGGGGGCAUUAGUAUUCAAUUGUCAGAGGUGAAAUUCUUGGAUUUAUUGAAGACUAACUACUGCGAAAGCAUUUUGCCAAGGAUGUUUUCAUUAAUCAAGAACGAAAGUUAGGGGAUCGAAGACGAUCAGAUACCGUCGUAGUCUUAACCAUAAACUAUGCCGACUAGGGAUCGGAUGAUGUUAAUUUUUUAAUGACUCAUUCGGCGCC